rnacentral:lncRNA from 1 species
GGGUGGGGGUGGGAGAGUUUCUGCUAAAUGCAAAAAAGAAAAAAAAAUGUGGAGGCCAGCCACAGCUUUGUUUAGUGCUGGAAGAAAAACGGAUUCCCCCCACCCCCACUCUUAGAAUAGGAAUUCCAAAGCAAUCUCAUCACAUGAAGAUGGUUUCAGCAUGGUUUUACUUUAUUUGUACACAGGUGUUGUAUAUAAAAAUCUGAGCAGGUUAAAACUGGAAGGAUCCCAGAAGGUUUAUUACCUAAAAAGGCAAAGUGACUGUCCUAGGGCCAUAUGUUGGGGUACAUAUAAUGGGAGUGUCAUGGCAUUGGAAUCUGCCACCCCCCUUUCAUUAUCCUUUAGUGAAAUGGAUUUUGGAAUUGGAGAUUCUGCUCAGAAAUGGGCUGUAAUAUUGACAGUCAUUAGGUAGAGGUCAGCUUUUUAAAAAAUAAUGAUGCAGCCAGGCACAGUGGUGCACACCUGGAAUCCCAAAAGCUCAGGAGGCUGAGGCAGGAGGAUCGUGAGUUCAAAGUCAGCUUCAGCAAAAGCGAGGCACUAAAGCACCUCAGUGAGACCCUGUCUCUAAAUAAAAUACAAAGUAGGGCUGGGGAUGUGGCUUAGUGGCCGAGUGUCCCUGAGUUCAAUCCCUGGUACUAAAAAAAAAAAAAAGAAAAAAAUGUGUGGGGAGGGGCCUCUGGACUUGCCUCAGUGGUAGAGUGCCCCUGAAUUCAAUUCCCUGUACCAAAAAAAAUUAAUAAUAAUAAAAAUUUUUAAAAAGCAGAAUCAG